UCAUUAGUUUGUUGAAUGGAGGCGUCAGGAAAAUGGUGAUGACUGACCCUAAAACAGUGAGGUCUUCUAACUUCAUGCAAUGUCGUCUCCUUCUUUGGCUGUUUCAUCACAGAGAGGACCUACUGCUGGUGUGGAAGAUUGUUGCCAUAAAAACAUGCUGAAAACUACAUAUACUGCAGCAAAAGCCAUGUACAUAUCUCACCAACGGUAACGCAGAUACUUCACUCCAGUUGGUCAGACACUCUUAAACACAAGGCCUAGAACAUUGCCAAAAUCAUGGUGUUGUUGGUUGUCCUUGGAAACCAGAUCCCAACCCAGUUUCACUUGUGAAGAGUGGCGUGGGGAGUGCUCCAAGGAGCAGCAACAGUGCGGAACUGAGGAAAGCAGAGGUACACAAAGGAAAUGUCAACAUGCAUGCAGGUGCAACAGAAGUAUCAGUCUACUGCACAGGGAGCCCGAGAGCUCUGAUGGCCCUUCUGAAUUGACCCAAUUGAGGCAAGGAGAUUGAGCCUUUGUACCCUUACAUCAACCAAUCAUCUAUGAGGCCUGCUCCUGGGGAGGAGGCAGAAGCUUACAUGAUGCCAACAGCUUCAGCUGAGGUCAAUUUUCAAUCUGUUCUCUUGGCUGACAACACCCCUGGCAGCUGUGGAAGGAGUGUCUUGGGGGAUCUG